rnacentral:tmRNA from 1 species
GGGGACGUAUUGGAAUCGACAGGAAAUAUUACGGGUAGGUAAGCAUGCCGGAGCAAGAUUGUUCACUCCGUUAUUAAAUGAUAAUCAACCAAUUUAGAUGGCAACUAUCAGUAUGCCAUGGCUGCUUAGUACAAGGUACUAAAACGCCAUUAUGCUGUACGCUUGACUCCUGAUAUACAGCGUAUCGCGUAUCACCAAAUUGCAGGAUAGCGAUGUGGAAUGCCUCUACCAUUGAGCGAAACUUCAGAGGAUAAGGUGUAAAAUGGGUGGGUUGCCGAACCUUCCUUACACUCGAAAACUCAACCGGCAACUAAGCAUGUAGAAGGCCUAUGUGUACUUUCUCUGGACGCGGGUUCGACUCCCGCCGUCUCCACAA